rnacentral:tRNA from 1 species
GGGGUCGUCGUUCAGCGGUUUAGGACAUCUGCCUGUCACGCAGAAGAUCGAGGGUUCGAAUCCCUUCGGCCCCGCCA